rnacentral:tRNA from 1 species
GCGGGAAUAGCUCAGUUGGUAGAGCACGACCUUGCCAAGGUCGGGGUCGCGAGUCGAGUCUCGUUUCCCGCUCCA